UACGUAGGAGACGAGCGUUGUCCGGAGUUACUGGGCGUAAAGGGUGCGCAGGCGGCCCUGCGCGUCGCGAGUGAAAUCUCCCGGCUCAACUGGGAGGGUGGUCGCGAGACGGCAGGGCUUGAGGCUCGGUGAGGGGCGUGGAAUUCCGGGUGGAGCGGUGAAAUGCGUAGAUAUCAUUUGGAACGCCAAUGGUGAAAACAACUCGCUGGGGGUGUGCUGACGCUGAGACACGAAAGCCAGGGGAGCGAACGGG
rnacentral:rRNA from 1 species